rnacentral:rRNA from 1 species
GAAUGUUGACCUCGGAUCAGGUAGGAAUACCCGCUGAACUUAAGCAUAUCAAAAGUCCCGGAGGAA